UGCGUAGGGUGCGAGCGUUAAUCGGAAUUACUGGGCGUAAAGCGUGCGCAGGCGGUUCGUUGUGUCUGAUGUGAAAGCCCCGGGCUUAACCUGGGAAUGGCAUUGGAAACUGGCGAGCUGGAGUGUGGCAGAGGGGGGUGGAAUUCCGCGUGUAGCAGUGAAAUGCGUAGAGAUGCGGAGGAACACCGAUGGCGAAGGCAGCCCCCUGGGCCAACACUGACGCUCAGGCACGAAAGCGUGGGGAGCAAACAGG
rnacentral:rRNA from 1 species